rnacentral:rRNA from 1 species
AUUGAACGCUGGCGGCAGGCUUAACACAUGCAAGUCGAGCGGGGGAAGGUAGCUUGCUACCGGACCUAGCGGCGGACGGGUGAGUAAUGCUUAGGAAUCUGCCUAUUAGUGGGGGACAACAUCUCGAAAGGGAUGCUAAUACCGCAUACGUCCUACGGGAGAAAGCAGGGGAUCCUCGGACCGUGCGCUAAUAGAUGAGCCUAAGUCGGAUUAGCUAGUUGGUGGGGUAAAGGCCGACCAAGGCGACGAUCUGUAGCGGGUCUGAGAGGAUGAUCCGCCACACUGGGACUGAGCCACGGCCCAGACUCCUACGGGACGCAGCAGUGGGGAAUAUUGGACAAUGGGGGGAACCCUGAUCCAGCCAUGCCGCGUGUGUGAAGCAGGCCUUAUGGUUGUAAAGCACUUUAAGCGAGGAGGAGGCUACUCUAGUUACUACCUAGGGAUAGUGGACGUUACUCGCAGAAUAAGCACCGGCUAACUCUGUGCCAGCCGCCGCCGUAA